UACGUAGGGGGCAAGCGUUGUCCGGAUUUAUUGGGCGUAAAGAGCGUGUAGGCGGCCAUACAGGUCAGCUGUGAAAACUCGAGGCUCAACCUCGAGACGUCGGUUGAAACCGUAUGGCUAGAGUCCGGAAGAGAAGACUGGAAUUCCUGGUGUAGCGGUGAAAUGCGCAGAUAUCAGGAGGAACACCGGUGGCGAAGGCGGGUCUCUGGGCCGAUAUUGACGUUGAGGAGCGAAAGCGUGGGGAGCGAACAGG
rnacentral:rRNA from 1 species